rnacentral:rRNA from 1 species
AAAUUGAAGAGUUUGAUCAUGGCUCAGAUUGAACGCUGGCGGCAGGCCUAACACAUGCAAGUCGAACGGUAACAGGAAGAAGCUUGCUUCUUUGCUGACGAGUGGCGGACGGGUGAGUAAUGUCUGGGAAACUGCCUGAUGGAGGGGGAUAACUACUGGAAACGGUAGCUAAUACCGCAUAACGUCGCAAGACCAAAGAGGGGGACCUUCGGGCCUCUUGCCAUCGGAUGUGCCCAGAUGGGAUUAGCUAGUAGGUGGGGUAACGGCUCACCUAGGCGACGAUCCCUAGCUGGUCUGAGAGGAUGACCAGCCACACUGGAACUGAGACACGGUCCAGACUCCUACGGGAGGCAGCAGUGGGGAAUAUUGCACAAUGGGCGCAAGCCUGAUGCAGCCAUGCCGCGUGUAUGAAGAAGGCCUUCGGGUUGUAAAGUACUUUCAGCGGGGAGGAAGGGAGUAAAGUUAAUACCUUUGCUCAUUGACGUUACCCGCAGAAGAAGCACCGGCUAACUCCGUGCCAGCAGCCGCGGUAAUACGGAGGGUGCAAGCGUUAAUCGGAAUUACUGGGCGUAAAGCGCACGCAGGCGGUUUGUUAAGUCAGAUGUGAAAUCCCCGGGCUCAACCUGGGAACUGCAUCUGAUACUGGCAAGCUUGAGUCUCGUAGAGGGGGGUAGAAUUCCAGGUGUAGCGGUGAAAUGCGUAGAGAUCUGGAGGAAUACCGGUGGCGAAGGCGGCCCCCUGGACGAAGACUGACGCUCAGGUGCGAAAGCGUGGGGAGCAAACAGGAUUAGAUACCCUGGUAGUCCACGCCGUAAACGAUGUCGACUUGGAGGUUGUGCCCUUGAGGCGUGGCUUCCGGAGCUAACGCGUUAAGUCGACCGCCUGGGGAGUACGGCCGCAAGGUUAAAACUCAAAUGAAUUGACGGGGGCCCGCACAAGCGGUGGAGCAUGUGGUUUAAUUCGAUGCAACGCGAAGAACCUUACCUGGUCUUGACAUCCACGGAAGUUUUCAGAGAUGAGAAUGUGCCUUCGGGAACCGUGAGACAGGUGCUGCAUGGCUGUCGUCAGCUCGUGUUGUGAAAUGUUGGGUUAAGUCCCGCAACGAGCGCAACCCUUAUCCUUUGUUGCCAGCGGUCCGGCCGGGAACUCAAAGGAGACUGCCAGUGAUAAACUGGAGGAAGGUGGGGAUGACGUCAAGUCAUCAUGGCCCUUACGACCGUGGCUACACACGUGCUACAAUGGCGCAUACAAAGAGAAGCGACCUCGCGAGAGCAAGCGGACCUCAUAAAGUGCGUCGUAGUCCGGAUUGGAGUCUGCAACUCGACUCCAUGAAGUCGGAAUCGCUAGUAAUCGUGGAUCAGAAUGCCACGGUGAAUACGUUCCCGGGCCUUGUACACACCGCCCGUCACACCAUGGGAGUGGGUUGCAAAAGAAGUAGGUAGCUUAACCUUCGGGAGGGCGCUUACCACUUUGUGAUUCAUGACUGGGGUGAAGUCGUAACAAGGUAACCGUAGGGGAACCUGCGGUUGGAUCACCUCCUUACCUUAAAGAAGC